rnacentral:rRNA from 1 species
UACGAGGGGGGCAAGCGUUGUUCGGAAUUAUUGGGCGUAAAGGGCGCGUAGGCGGUGUCGCAAGUCCGUGGUGAAAUCUCUAGGCUCAACUUAGAGACUGCCGCGGAAACUGCGGUGCUUGAGUGUGGGAGAGGUGCGUGGAAUUCCCGGUGUAGCGGUGAAAUGCGCAGAUAUCGGGAAGAACACCCGUGGCUAAGGCGGCUCUCUAGUACGGUACUGACGCUGAGACGCGAAAGCGUGGGGAGCGAACAGG